UACGUAGGGAGCGAGCGUUGUCCGGAUUCAUUGGGCGUAAAGAGCUCGUAGGCGGCUUGGUAAGUCGGAUGUGAAACCUCCAGGCUCAACCUGGAGUCGCCAUCCGAUACUGCCAUGGCUAGAGUCCGGUAGGGGCCCACGGAAUUCCUGGUGUAGCGGUGAAAUGCGCAGAUAUCAGGAGGAACACCGGUGGCGAAGGCGGGUCUCUGGGCCGAUAUUGACGCUGAGGAGCGAGAGCGUGGGGAGCGAACAGG
rnacentral:rRNA from 1 species